CUACGGGGGGCACCAGUCGAGAAUAUUCCACAAUGGAGGAAACUCUGAUGGAGCGACGUCGCGUGGUGGAUGAAGUGCUUAGGUACGUAAACACCUUUUAUAGGGGAGGAAAUUUGUGACGUUACCCUAUGAAUAAGGGGCUGCUAAACUCGUGCCAGCAGCAGCGGUUAGACGAGUGCCCCGAGCGUUAUCCGGAAUCACUGGGCGUAAAGCGUGUCUAGGCGGCCUAGUUAGUCCUUAGUUAAAGCUCCGGGCUUAACCCGGAAAAUGCUAGGGAAACGGCUAAGCUAGAGAUUGUGAGAGGUAUACGGAACUCUGUGUGUAGGGGUGAAAUCCGUUGAUAUACAGGGGAACACCAAAGGCGAAGGCAGUAUACUGGCGCAAUUCUGACGCUCACACACGAAAGCUAGGGUAGCGAAUGGGAUUAGAUACCCGUGUAGUC
rnacentral:rRNA from 1 species